rnacentral:rRNA from 1 species
CACUAUCGUUAACUGAAUACAUAGGUUAACGAGGCGAACCGGGGGAACUGAAACAUCUAAGUACCCCGAGGAAAAGAAAUCAACCGAGAUUCCCCCAGUAGCGGCGAGCGAACGGGGAGCAGCCCAGAGUCUGAAUCAGCUUGUGUGUUAGUGGAACGGUCUGGAAAGUCCGACGGUACAGGGUGAUAGUCCCGUACACCAAAAUGCACAGGCUGUGAACUCGAAGAGUAGGGCGGGACACGUGGUAUCCUGUCUGAAUAUGGGGGGACCAUCCUCCAAGGCUAAAUACUCCUGACUGACCGAUAGUGAACCAGUACCGUGAGGGAAAGGCGAAAAGAACCCCGGCGAGGGGAGUGAAAAAGAACCUGAAACCGUGUACGUACAAGCAGUGGGAGCACCUUCGGGUGUGACUGCGUACCUUUUGUAUAAUGGGUCAGCGACUUAUAUUCUGUAGCAAGGUUAACCGUAUAGGGGAGCCGCAGGGAAACCGAGUCUUAACUGGGCGUUAAGUUGCAGGGUAUAGACCCGAAACCCGGUGAUCUAGCCAUGGGCAGGUUGAAGGUUGGGUAACACUAACUGGAGGACCGAACCGACUAAUGUUGAAAAAUUAGCGGAUGACUUGUGGCUGGGGGUGAAAGGCCAAUCAAACCGGGAGAUAGCUGGUUCUCCCCGAAAGCUAUUUAGGUAGCGCCUCGUGAACUCAUCUUCGGGGGUAGAGCACUGUUUCGGCUAGGGGGUCAUCCCGACUUACCAACCCGAUGCAAACUACGAAUACCGAAGAAUGUUAUCACGGGAGACACACGGCGGGUGCUAACGUCCGUCGUGAAGAGGGAAACAACCCAGACCGCCAGCUAAGGUCCCAAAGUCAUGGUUAAGUGGGAAACGAUGUGGGAAGGCACAGACAGCCAGGAUGUUGGCUUAGAAGCAGCCAUCAUUUAAAGAAAGCGUAAUAGCUCACUGGUCGAGUCGGCCUGCGCGGAAGAUGUAACGGGGCUAAACCAUGCACCGAAGCUGCGGCAGCGACACUAUGUGUUGUUGGGUAGGGGAGCGUUCUGUAAGCCUGCGAAGGUGUGCUGUGAGGCAUGCUGGAGGUAUCAGAAGUGCGAAUGCUGACAUAAGUAACGAUAAAGCGGGUGAAAAGCCCGCUCGCCGGAAGACCAAGGGUUCCUGUCCAACGUUAAUCGGGGCAGGGUGAGUCGACCCCUAAGGCGAGGCCGAAAGGCGUAGUCGAUGGGAAACAGGUUAAUAUUCCUGUACUUGGUGUUACUGCGAAGGGGGGACGGAGAAGGCUAUGUUAGCCGGGCGACGGUUGUCCCGGUUUAAGCAUGUAGGCUGAUUGUCCAGGCAAAUCCGGAUAAUCAAGGCUGAGGUGUGAUGACGAGGCACUACGGUGCUGAAGUAACAAAUGCCCUGCUUCCAGGAAAAGCCUCUAAGCAUCAGGUAACAUUAAAUCGUACCCCAAACCGACACAGGUGGUCAGGUAGAGAAUACCAAGGCGCUUGAGAGAACUCGGGUGAAGGAACUAGGCAAAAUGGUGCCGUAACUUCGGGAGAAGGCACGCUGGUGUGUAGGUGAAGCCCCUGCGGGUGGAGCUGAGACCAGUCGAAGAUACCAGCUGGCUGCAACUGUUUAUUAAAAACACAGCACUGUGCAAACACGAAAGUGGACGUAUACGGUGUGACGCCUGCCCGGUGCCGGAAGGUUAAUUGAUGGGGUUAUCCGUAAGGAGAAGCUCUUGAUCGAAGCCCCGGUAAACGGCGGCCGUAACUAUAACGGUCCUAAGGUAGCGAAAUUCCUUGUCGGGUAAGUUCCGACCUGCACGAAUGGCGUAAUGAUGGCCAGGCUGUCUCCACCCGAGACUCAGUGAAAUUGAACUCGCUGUGAAGAUGCAGUGUACCCGCGGCAAGACGGAAAGACCCCGUGAACCUUUACUAUAGCUUGACACUGAACAUUGAGCCUUGAUGUGUAGGAUAGGUGGGAGGCUUUGAAGCGUGGACGCCAGUCUGCGUGGAGCCAACCUUGAAAUACCACCCUUUAAUGUUUGAUGUUCUAACGUUGGCCCCUUACCGGGGUUGCGGACAGUGUCUGGUGGGUAGUUUGACUGGGGCGGUCUCCUCCCAAAGCGUAACGGAGGAGCACGAAGGUUAGCUAAUCCUGGUCGGACAUCAGGAGGUUAGUGCAAUGGCAUAAGCUAGCUUGACUGCGAGCGUGACGGCGCGAGCAGGUGCGAAAGCAGGUCAUAGUGAUCCGGUGGUUCUGAAUGGAAGGGCCAUCGCUCAACGGAUAAAAGGUACUCCGGGGAUAACAGGCUGAUACCGCCCAAGAGUUCAUAUCGACGGCGGUGUUUGGCACCUCGAUGUCGGCUCAUCACAUCCUGGGGCUGAAGUAGGUCCCAAGGGUAUGGCUGUUCGCCAUUUAAAGUGGUACGCGAGCUGGGUUUAGAACGUCGUGAGACAGUUCGGUCCCUAUCUGCCGUGGGCGCUGGAGAAUUGAGGGGGGCUGCUCCUAGUACGAGAGGACCGGAGUGGACGCAUCACUGGUGUUCGGGUUGUCAUGCCAAUGGCACUGCCCGGUAGCUAAAUGCGGAAGAGAUAAGUGCUGAAAGCAUCUAAGCACGAAACUUGCCCCGAGAUGAGUUCUCCCUGAGACUUUAAGUCUCCUGAAGGAACGUU